GAAAUCUUAAAAAGGUAAGGCAAGGAGAAUAAAAUCUUAAAAAGGAACUGAUUUUUCUAUUUGUUGUUUGUGGAAACAGUAAUGGAUUCGUUGAAAGAACUUUUGGAAUCGUGGAAUAUACCACAAGUUGUAGUGACCAAUUUUAUUGAGAAUGGUAUAACGAUUGAACAUUUCCCCAAAUUAAAACUAGACAAUUUGAAAGAAUUAUGCCCACAUAUGGGGACUAGACUAUCUUUAGAGGAAAAGAUAGGGGAGCUUAUUACUGCACAGGCAACGACGGAUGCAGUAUCUGAAUCAACUGAUGAUCAAGUCAUUAUUACUCCCACCUCCAGUAAAUUUGAGACAAGCACCAGUGAUUGUUUAUUUUUGUUAGUUUUUUACCAGUUUAUUAGUUUCAUUAGAUGAACUACAAAUGGUCGACAUCUUGGAAACAACCAAAAGUGUAUCUAGAAAAACAUUUCCACAUUUUGAUUUGGAGACACUACUGCAUACGUCAGCAGGUGGCAAUAGUAUUUUAAAAUACUAUGAAACAUAUGGUUUUCUCAAUAAUACCAAGAGAAACCAGUUGACUGAUAUAAUUAUAAAACAUAUAUACACAUACAUUGUCAAUUACCGGAUAACCUAUGAAGAAUAUAAUAUUAUAUCUGCGAAAAUAAUAUCACUGUUUCCAAAGGAGUCAAUAGGCACUUAUUUUACCAAACCUAUAAAAAAAAAUAAUUCAUUUAAUGGACGUUCUACA